rnacentral:tRNA from 1 species
AGGUCAGUAGCUCAAUUGGUAGAGCACCGGUCUCCAAAACCGGGGGUUGGGGGUUCGAGUCCCUCCUGACCUGCCA